GACUACUGGGGUAUCUAAUCCCGUUCGCUCCCCACGCUUUCGCGCCUUAGCGUCAGUUCUAGGCCAGAGAGCCGCCUUCGCCACUGGUGUUCUUCCCGAUAUCUACGCAUUUCACCGCUACACCGGGAAUUCCGCUCUCCUCUCCCGAACUCAAGAGAAUCAGUAUUAGGUGCAGUUCACAAGUUGAGCCUGUGGAUUUCACACCUAACUUAACUCCCCGCCUACACGCCCUUUACGCCCAAUAAUUCCGAACAACGCUCGCCUCAUACGUAUUACCGCGGCUGCUGGCACGUAGUUAGCCGAGGCUUUAGGCAGGUACCGUCAUCACAACGAAUAUUACCCGUUGCUUAUUCGUUCCUGCUUACUGGACUUUACAAUCCGAAGACCUUCAUCGUCCACGCGGCGUCGCUGCGUCAGGCUUUCGCCCAUUGCGCAAGAUUCCUCACUGCAGCCCCCCGUAGG
rnacentral:rRNA from 1 species